rnacentral:lncRNA from 1 species
UUUCUCUGUACCUAUUUCUAUUCAUUCACUUUAUUGAAUUUUCUUACUGGCAUGUCCUGAUCCUCUAUAAUUUGAUAGAAAAUUGCUGCAAACAAGGAAGAGAGAUAUGAUUUAUACUGUCUCAACUGAUGGGUUCUCUCUACGGAAAUCUGGUGUGUUAAGUGUUGGUGGAUCAAGUUUGAAAUGGUCAAGAUCCCUUGAGAAGCGUUCUCAAAAGGUCAACAAGGUAUUUCACUUCAGUGAAAUUUUUGUUCCUAAUUUCUUGUUCAGUCAUCAACAGAAAUGAUUCCAGGAGUUCUAUAAUUCUAUUCAUCUGAUCAUGAUAUCUAGAAGUUUCCAGCUCAGGUUGUGCUGGGUAUACACUUGAGUUAUUAGAACAACUAUACGAUUUUAACACUCUUUCACUGGUUAAACUGUAAGCUCUAAAGACAGGGAUGUUGCAAUGAAUGCCCACCUUAUGCUGGUGCCUUUUUUUUUUUUAAAAAAAAACAAUGCCUAUAUCUAUAGCUUUUGGAUCCAUCCAUCACAAUCAUAUUUUAUGAUCUGGAGCAUAUGACCUGAAGAAAUUCUGUUAUCUGAUAAAUGAUGUCGCCCUGCUAAGACUCAUUUGUUUGAUACUACAUGAGCAUCUGAAUUUUAAAUAGUGUAACCAUGGAUGGCCUUUUAAAAGACCAUAUACUAAAAGCUACAGGGUGGAGUGACUGUCCAAUUGCUGCAUUUAGAACAUCAGUAUUAAUCUAUGGUGCUUUUAUUCUCAUUAUUAAACAAAAAUCAAAUUGCACUCUGGAUUGCAGGAAGCUACAUUGGCACUCGCUGAAGUUGAAAGAAGGAAAAGGGAGAAACGGAAGCGGCAGUCUCUCCAUGAUAAGGGAGGUAAUGGUAAUGUGUUAAUUUGUGAAUUUGACAUGGUUAAACUUUUCUUAUUAGUACUGAUGAAGAAGAUUUAACUAGUUCUCAAGUAAAACUCGCAUGCUCCUUCAUGUUAAAAUUUCAACUUAAGUUCCAACUUACCAAAUAAACAUUUGAGCUGCUAUAGACAGAAUUGCAUUAUGGCAUUACUUUAUAGAGCACAAGGAACCUGUUUUGUUACUUUAGUUUGAGCACUGUGGCUUAUUGAUCACCUUUUUAGGUGCUUACCAUCGAUGAGUUCAUAUUUCUUGUGGAAACAUGUUUCCUUGAAUUGCCUUUCUCUGCAAACAUAUAUUUUACUGAUUAAUCAUUUUUUUCAUUAGCUUUUCUUUGUUUACGCUCUAUGAUGUCUUAAUUUUGCAGAUCAUCAAUUUGAAUCUGUCACUGGCAAUCAAUUAAGAAACAGCCGCCAAUCGUCUUCCGAUUUGAGAAAGCCAUCGACUUGCAAUGAGUAUGUUAUGAACACGUGUUGAGUAUGUUAUGAACCCUUUUAUCAUAGAUAUUCUAAUUUGACUCAUUCCCUUGUUUUAUGUUUGAAGCAGAUAUGUGCGCGUUAGCAAAGGUAACCAACUGGUUAGAAAUCCGAAGAAUGUAAUCCGCAUGCUAGCAAGUGACAAAGUUCGAUGGAGUUUGCACACUGUGAGAUCACGCCUAGCAAAGAAACAACAGUACUGCCAAUUCUUCACUCGGUUUGGCGAGUGCAAAAAACCCAGGGGCAAAUGCCCUUAUAUUCAUGACCGAGCUAAAGUGACUAUAUGUACUAAAUUUCUUAAAGGAUUGUGUUCUAAUACUAGUUGCAAACUGACUCACAAGGUAAGGUCUUUCUUCUUGAUUCUAUACUAAUCUUGCAUUGACAUUUUUUUUUCAUUUCAAGAGCAUGUAUUGCAGGUCCUUCCAGAAAGAAUGCCAGAUUGUUCUUAUUUUCUGAGAGGUGAUUCAUUCCAGUCUAACGUCAUUACUUUCUCUUUCUUCUGCAAAAAAAUGUCGUGCUUACAUUUUGGCAUCACAUGCAGGACUCUGUACCAACAUAGCCUGCCCCUAUAGGCAUGUGAAAGUGAACUUGAAUGCUCCUGUUUGUGAAGACUUCUUAAAAGGAUAUUGUGCAUAUGGUGACGAGGUAUGUGAUGCUAUCACUAGAUAUCUGCUGAUCUUUAUCAAAUUUCCGCUCGCAGAAUCACAGAAUAACGUAGAUGCUUGUUCAGUUUCCUACAUUUUAGCUAAAGGAGGAAUUCAGCAUCAGGUGCACAAAAAACUGUUCAGUGCGAUAGGCUGUUCUUAUAUUCCAUCAAUCAAAUAAUAACUCCUUGCGCUUUAAAUACUUAGUUGAUAUAAUCCACUGCAUGAGAUUAUAGGAGUUCUUUUUCCUGUAAUCUAGGAAGGCAUGCAUCUGAUUGUUCAGUCUACAUGGCGUGUCUAGUGUUAUUUAGUGUUGAUAUAUAUAAUUAGAUGAAAAUGAUUUUGCUGGUAGUUUUUUGCCAUGUACCCGUUAGCCUUUUGAACUUUGGGGGCUUUCACAAACCUUUGUGUAUUCUGAAUAAAGAUCACUAAUCUUUUUCAUGAUCUUGAAAUAAUUUCUUUACGAGCAGUGUCAUAAAAAGCACAGCUAUGUAUGUCCUGUCUUCGAGGCAACUGGAGAGUGCCCACAAGGAUCUAGAUGCAAACUUCAUCACCCUAAGAGCAAAGUCAAAUCCAAGAGCAGAAGACCAGAUUUCUUGCAAAACAGUAGUUGGGGCCGGUAUUUUGAUGCCAGCAUUGACCAUCAAGAUGAGACAAGGAAAGUUUCUUUAGACGAAGACGAGAGAGAGAAACCUCAACGUGUUUUCACUGAUGGGGAUUUGGGCUUUAUCAGCUUGGAUGAUGAUGCGGAUGAAGAUGUUACAGCUUUAGAUGCGUCAGAUGAUAUACCGCUGAUGGAAUUGGACUCGGGGGAUUUAAGUGUGCAGACUGAUAAUCUUGAUGCACUAAUCAAGCCACUUCGGAUCAUGAGAACAGCAAGAGUUUGAUAGCUAAUGCAGUUAGAGGGGAUAUCAGAUUUUCAACGCGAAGACUUACCAUCUCAACGAACUAAUCUAGCCGCUUUGGAUCAUGGUGACAGCAGGAGUUUGACAGGUUCUUUGAUUGACCGAGACAGACCAAACUUGAUACAACAGGAUAGGUGCAGUGUUCGAGACAACCGUAUAUAUAUAGGGAAGGAAAACAAGUUUCGUUUUCUUCAUUGUUUUUCUACCCUUAUUCGGAAGUUCCAUUUUUGUUUGUCAUGUACAUAUAGUUAUUUUUCUUAUGUUUUAGGUUACCUAUAUUACAUGCCAACAUCACACAGAGUUAAGUGUAACGAACAAUCAUUUACAUUGCAGAAGAAAGAAAUGGCAAUUUAUUUAGAAUUGCAUUGUGCAAGUUUUCAUUGUUGUUUUGUCUGAUCUAUAGUCUGCCGUUGGAUCGGAUUGAAUUAUGAAAUCCUCGUAUUGAUGUUUUGAUGGAGAAAUUCUUGUGUUCGUAGUAUUAAAGACUACUUGAAGGCACUAUAAGCAUUGGAGAAUGGAGAUGGUCGAUGAAAAAAGAACCGAGCGCAAAUUUGCGGGCAACAGCAAAGAGUAGAAUCUGUCUAACUUCUUUCCAAUUUCCAUAACAGCAAUGAAGCAGCACCGCACAUCAUAGGAAUCACGAAACUUGCUCACUUCUCACAGAAACUUCUAAUAUGCUCAGAAAUAAACAAAGGUAAUAAGAAAGACGAGCAGAUUUGAAUGCGUCCUUCAAAUCUGCACUCAGCAAAGGCAACGCAACUAGACUGAUCGAAGCUUAUCACUAAAAGAAAAUUUUAAGAAAACACAAAGCAAUUGCAGAGAAAAAUACAACCAAAGAAAGAACGGAGGAACAUUGGUCUGGACUCUGGAAAGCUUAAGCUCAUGCUGGCUGAGAUCGAGGGGUUGAGGCAGCUUCUACUUUUGUCAGGGUUACAGAUCGCAGUAAUUCCAGUGUGCUCGAUAAUCCAAGAAAAUGUGAGAGGAUCGUGUUGGCUGAAGCCUGUGCAGGUUUUUUAAUAAAAAAAAAUGCUCAAUUGAUGUUCUUGUGAUACAGUUAUAUGAUUAAUGGAAACUAGGAAUAGAAUGCCUAGGAGUUAAAUAAAUAAGGGGCUUGGGGCUGGAUGUCAUACCUGAACAAGGAAAACAUCUAAAGAUAGAACAGGGCUCUGGCCAGGAGAUAUUCCCUGGUAGUACGGCACUGCAGAUGUAGUGAGGGCUUUUGCUACCAAUGCCCCUACAGUUGCCUGCAUACCAAGAAUUGCAGCACCCAUUCCAAGAACAUUGAGCACAAUACCAUUUUUGAGAUUUUUUACCACAUCGGCACGUGGAGGAGCCUGGAAAAAGAGCCAGUAAUUUUAGUUAUGUCUGGAAAGCGUGGAGGAGCCUGGAAAAAGAGCCAGUAAUUUUAGUUAUGUCUGGAAAGCAGUUUGACAUGACUGCUAUGGAUAAUAGAACCAAAUGCUAUUACUAUGUCAGUUUAAAUUAAAACACGGCGAACAGUAGUACACCCCUGGGCAUAAUAAUAUGAUACUACCAUUCAAUCAGUUUGUUCGGCAAUAUGAUAUCAAGAUGAUUAUGGGCAGGUACGAGAUGGGAUGCCAAUAUUAGUGGGUGCAUGGAAGCAUCAGUUUUUGAGCAAAGAGAUGAUAGCGCAGUGCUAUAUAUAUUCUAGGAAAUGACAGUACCUUUGCAGGUUUGUUUGCUGUUCUCUUAAGCCUUUGUGAAAGACGGAUAUAACCAAAAGCCCAAAAGACUGAAAUAAAUGCCGCAACAAUACCAAUUGAAGUUGCAAAGAAUGUAAAGGGAGAUGUUGCAUUCCCUGUAGCGACUGCCGAGAAUGACAAAAUUCCUGCUGAGACAGUUGUGCACACUAACUGAGACCAGAAUCCCAGGGUGCCCAAAGUCUUGAAAUACUGUGCUGUUUUUUCUAGCCUCUUGCUAACCUGCAAAAUAAAGAAAUAGAGAGAGGCUAAUACUUGAGGGUCAUAACAUGCUGGUAGAUACACUUGUAAGCGAGAAUACAAGUGUACGAUGCAAACCAUUGGGGUAAAGUAAACAGCCUAAUAAUCUAGAAUAAACACUUUGGUUUACAGUUUAAACCAAAGAUUAUACUGAGAGUAGAAUGCCAAACGAGACUCUUAAUGCAUGGGCACCAGAGAAAUUACACAAAAGAACAACUUCAGGAAUUAUUAAUGACCGAUAACACAGUUUAACAUAUUAUCAAUUUGAUCUCACCUACUCCUUUUUAGACGAGUUAAAUUCUCAUAUAACAAAAUAUGGUGCUAGAUCAUAGUACAAAAGUGCAGAUGGAGUAAAUGAUAAUGCAGACAAGCGACAAAUGGAGCGGUGGCUAAUAGAACACACAAUCCAAAUGCUUGAAGUUGGAAUGGAGUAACUAAUAGAUGGUGAUAGCAGGAGGUGAAGAAAUAAAUCCAUCCCCAACAAUCUCUAGUUUCAUUUAACUCACGAAAGGCUCAUGGAUUUGGCGCAACUUCAAAAAAAUAGAGGAACUAAGAAAAGAUGGCAAUGCCCAAUAAUGUGUGUAUUUUGCGUGCACACUCUUGAUGAACUCUACUACUCUCAAUUAUGAGUGUCCAUUUCCCUGAUACCGAUUUAAUCUCUCAGCCAAUCGGGGUAAAUGGGCGCGCAUGAACCUAAUUCCCUUUCUUUUCUUGAGAAUCAAGAACCUAGAUUCCAAUAGAGCGCUACUAUCAAGAACUCUACACGAAUUAUGAUCCUGUCCGGACAGCAGAUAUCCUCCCCACCAUCACUGCCACUGAGCUGAACAGAUGAAAUGAAAGAAGCGAGUGGGGCACCUGGGCGAGCAUGGCGCGCUCGGCCUCGUCCUCGGCGGGGGAAGGCGCGGGGUCGGGAGGACCGGCCUCAGCCGCCGCCGCCGCAGCAGCAGCAGCAGCCGGGAGGCGCGACGCAGCGCGUCCUCCCCAGCGGCCGGCGGCGAAGGCGUCCACCACACGGAGAGCGGGGGAGCGCGGCGCCGGCGUGAGGAUCGAGGUGGCUCGAGGGGGUAGAGACGGCCGCCUCGGAGCGGGGAGGGGCGGCCGUGGCGCCGCCGCCGGGGAGAGCAGGAGCGCCUGCAUCCUUGCGUAGGUUUAGGCGGUCUAGAGGUUUCUCUGCUCCGGCGAGGAGGGGCAGCUUCGUACUUCCAUGUUUUUCAGGAAGGUGGCAUUUGCAAAAAAUGAUGAAAAUAGAGAGAGAGAGAGAGAGAGAGAGAGAGAGAGAGAGAGAGAGAGAGAGAGAGAGUGUAAUUUCGUAAAACCCCCAAAAUUUGUGAAGCAUUUUGUCCCAGAGGUUCUGAAAUCAAUAGCAAUAAACAUUUUGCACCGACUGGCGACUGCUUUAUUUAGAUUCUAUGCUAUCUAAAAGUGUAAUUUUACAAAAUUAUAGAUGUUUUAAUCAAACUAUUGUAAAACUACAUAUUUAAGUUGAUGUAUUACAAAACCACAUAUUACAAAUAAAUUAUUACAAAAUUAUAAAUUUAGUAACAACAUUUACAACUUGAAGAUAACGUUAGUGUUAAGAAUUUAAACUCUAAGCUUGUAGUUUUGUAAUAAUAUCAAUAUUAAAUAUGUAGUUUUAUAAUAGACUAAAUUGUACCCGUGAUACGUAAACUUGUGAGGUGGGGUGUAAUUUAGUACAUAAAUAAAUCGUUUAUUUUGGUACAUAAACUUGUAUAAUGUGUGCAAACCAAAGCCAAAACAACAUGUUGUAACUAAUUUCACUAAGUUGGACGCUAAUUAAGACAUUAUGUAAGCUUGCAUGCCAUAUUAAAUAUGUAGUUUUGGGAUAAAUUUGGUAAAAAAAAUAUGUAGUUCUAUGGUAUAAUGUAGUAUUGCAAUACUUUGAUCAAAGUAAUGUAGUUUUGUGAAAUUUACGGCUCCAUCGUUUCGCUUAUUUGGAGAAUAAGCGAAACGGCAUAUUUGCAAACGAAAAAUAAUUUAUGAACAAAAACUUUUAUAUACAUGUUCUUAGCAACCUAAAAGCAAAUACUGAAAAAUAAACUUCGAUGAAAAAAAAUCUUAAAAUCAACUCAAAUUUAAGGUUGCAAAUUCAAAUUUUGGUUGAUAAGUAUAAGUAUAAGCGAAAAGAUGAGACCAUUAAUCUAUCUAUAAUAAUAAUAAUAAUAAUAAUAAUAAUAAUAAUAAUAAUAAUAAUAAUAAUAAUAAUAAUAAUAAUAAUAAUAAUAAUAGUAAUAAUAAUAAUAAUAGAAUGGUAGAGUACCAUAUAAUUGUCAAAAGCAAUACCAUAAAAAUACAGACAAUGCAUCAAAAUAGGAAAAAAAAUAGCCACAAUAUGUUCUUGUCAAUAAAAUGCUAUAUGAUCGUUAUGAAGUAUUUAAAUUAGUUACUUCAUUAAUACUUUGAAUAUUCGCCACUAGUUGCAUAUGAUGUAAAUUUAUAAUAUAAACAUGGUUAUUUCUUGCUUGUUAUUAUGAUACGGUGUUUUCGAUAACCCUAUUUUCGAUGUUUUGAUAGCACUGGCAUCGUUUUGUUGGCUCUACCUUUUCAAUGAUCCACUCUCAGAAUAAUUUAUAGUCUUAAAAAUAGUUUGACCAUUUCUUUUAUUUCUUUUCAAAAUAUUACAAAAAGGUUAUCUAAAAUGUACUUUAAAAAAAUACAGAGACACGAAGUACUUACUCCCUUCUUCCCUGAAUAUUUGACACUGUUAACUUUUCUAAACAUGUUUGACCAUUCGUUUUAUUCCAAAACUUUUGUGAAAUAUAUAGAACUAUAUGUAUACAUAAAAGUAUAUUUAACAACGAAUCAAAUGAUAGGAAAAGAAUUAAUAAUUAUUUAAUUUUUUUUUAAUAAGACGAACGGUCAAUCAUGUAAAAAAAAUUAAAAACGUCAAAUAUUUAGGGAACGAGGGAGUAUUUCGCAAAAUUUAAAACCAGAGAAAUUAUUCAAGAAACGAAACUGCAAAUAAACUCAGACCCACACAAAAAAAAGUGAGAAGUAGAAUCAACCGCCGCCGCUCGUCGCAAGUCACCACACACACCCUCGCCGCGCCGCCGCUCAAUUCAGUGAUGCAGGCGGCAGCACCCGCGUGGGCUCCGCCCAUCGUCUCCUCGGCUUCCGCCGUCUUCGCGCGGCCCCGCCGUGGCGCGCGCGCCGGCGCCGGCGCCGUCCGGUGCGAGCUCGCCGCCUCCGCGCCAUCGUCGGCCGCCGGCUCGUUGGCCCCACGCUGGGCCCAGAGGACCGUCGUCAUCCCGCCGCAGCGCCGCGGCUGCCACCUCAUCACCCCCAAGGUGCCUCCGCCUCUCCACCCCUGCGUCCCCCACCCACAAGUUUUGGGUUCUACAAUGGUGUGAUUGCGAAGAUUGGUGCUAAUUGCUAUCCUCUUGUUGUUUCUUGGCCGUUGCAGAUUGUGAACGGGAUAAGAGACGACCUCUCCGAGUUCAAGUGCGGCAUGGCACAUCUGUUCUGUAUGUAUAUAUAUGCAGACACUCACCCGAUGCAAUUUGUGUUAUUGUUUUCUUGUUCUUGUUUGGUGAUGAACUGAUGGUAUAGAAUAUUGCAAUUUUGCAAAGGGAAAUUUGCGGAAAUAUUGAUCUGGCGCAUCAUGUUUAUCUGACCAAUUAUCUAUAUACAUGAUUGUCCUGCCAAAAUGGAUAUCAAAGAGAUGUUCUAAUGAUUAUUUAGCUGUGCGUUGAAUUUGCAUUUGUUACAUAGGAGAGAGUCAACAUAGAAUCAAUUUGAAGAGUUCGUUGGUACUUGGCAUCCUUGUCCUCUCAGUACAACAGAUUGGGGAAGGAGAACAUAUUCAUUCAUGUGUGUAAUUGUGAUCUUGGUAGUAUGAGGAGGUGUGCGUGUAGUGUAAAAGAUAAGAAUGGAUGUCCCAUUUACUACUUAUUUAGAUUUGUAAUUACAUAUAUUCCAGGUUAAUGAGGACAGAAAGCUCCUCUGUUUUGUUUCAAGAGAGUAUAAACCAAAAACUCCAAACAUAUAUCAGGAAAACUUUACAGUGUCAUUGGCUAAUUUUUAGCCAAGGAAUAUAAUAUGGGGUGUCUAGUUAGUAUGCUUUUAGUGCUCAAUUUCUAUUGUUUAUAGUAUUUAUUAAAUGGUUAAUUCGUUAUGCCCUACAGUGCAGCACACCAGUGCUUCGUUGACUAUCAAUGAGAACUAUGACUCCGAUGUCCAGUUUGACACUGAAACAUUUCUUAGUCGCAUUGUCCCAGAGGUUAAUGACUCAAAAAUUUAUUAUUUGUUUCUAUUCAAGUGGUUCUAAUUGAUAUGACUGAUUGAUCAUUUUAUUUAUUGUGAUCAGGGUCCAUCUGCUCCAUGGAGGCACACCAUAGAAGGUUGGUUGUCUGAAACUGUGAAGCCUCAUAAGACUGGCAUAUGGUGUUUUCUAUUACAACAUUUGUGUUUAGUUAAUAAUAUAUACUGCUUAGCACUUUAGAGUGCAUAGUUCCUUUUUUUUUUGAAAAAAAAAAUUCUACUUCACUUCCCUAACAUUUUAUCAGAGCAUUUGACCACCAAACUUCUCUUUGGCUCACUAUGCCUCUGAAAUACCAUUGGACACUUUACUCCCCAAUGGCAUUUCUCUUUUGUUUAUCCUUAUACAAGUUGUGUUUUGAAUUGAAAUUUUGUGGGGUAGCAGAUGAUACCAUACCUCAUGUCUAGAAAUAUUUUAAAAAAUUUCAUGACUGUAUGCAUUUUCAUAUGUAAGGAUUAAAAAUUGGUCGUAGGUUCCCUCAUUAAUAGUCGUGUUCUGAUUGCAGGGCCAGACGACAUGCCAGCACAUAUUAAAUCGUCGAUGUUUGGUUGUGCCCUGACGUAUGUGCUCCCUUUUCCCUUGCGCCCAUAAUUUGUUGUUGCGUCCCCAAAAUAUUUGUAACAUCUUUUUCAUUGCAUCAGGAUUCCUAUCACUGAUGGGCGUCUCAACAUGGGAACUUGGCAGGUGCUGGAAAAUAUUUACCCCUUUAACUACAGAGCAUCUCUUUAGUUUCCAGUUUAUUUAACACUAUAGGUCAAACAUCUUAGUUUCCAGUUUCCACUAUUUCUAUUUAAGGCUCUAUUUCUAGUUGAACCUGAUUGAAAUUCCGCAGAGCCUCUAGUUUCCAGAUAAAGAAUACAGUACAGUUCUAGUUAUUAACCGCGACAUAACCUGUCAGUCGUAUGCUGAAUUUGUUGGUCAACCUCAUACUAGAGUAGUCAAUAGCCUGCAUUUUUUUUAACUGCGACAUAACCUGCAAUUUUUUUUACCUCAUAUUUAGACAUUUUAUUCUUUUCAGGGUAUAUGGCUCUGUGAACAUCGAGACUACGCUACUCCUCGCCAGAUUGUGAUUACUCUCAAUGGGAUCUAAAAGGUCCAUGACAAUAGAUAUUAAUAGCUGUAAAUGCAAUAUGACCAUCUAGACAUCUAGAUCAUAUGCAUUGAAACUGAAACUGAAACCUUUUCACUCAUUUGUGAUAUGAAUUACAGUGGUGAAUAUAUUUUGCAAUCUUGUAUCUGCGUGUGAACUAGUUUGGAUGAUUGUGUUAUGUAUUUCUGCCUGGAUCAGUGGGUGUAUAUGCAUUUCACUGUUUGAAAAUAAGGCUUCACCUCAGAAAAUUGUCACUGUUUGAAAAUGGAGUAAUACUAUGUUUCAGCGAAAAUAAGUCUUCAUCUCAGUAUUUUGUCUUUCAGCGAAAAUAAGUCUUCAUCUCAGUAAUUUGUCAUUGUUUGAAAAACGGAGAAAUCUGUUAUAGAGAAUAAAGUCCUCACCUCAGCAAUUUAUCACUGUUUGAAACUUGAAUGACAGAAAAUAGGUUAAUAAAAACUCUACAUAAAUUCUGUACUAUAGCUUACAAAAUUUUACGUGAAUUUUCUUCCAAUGCACUUUGAUUUUCAGUAAAUCACUUUUACGAAUUACCCCCUCACUUAUCCCUCCCUUCCAAUCUACCCCCUCCAUCACGUGCUCCUCUCCAACUCCGGCGACUCCCGCUCGUCUCCGGCGAUGGCCGGCCGCCUCCCCGCCGCCGCCGCGCCAUCCUCCAAACUGACAGGAACUGAAAAUAUUCAGUUUGGGAAUGCUGAAACUGAAUGUCUAAAGAAAUGAGAGGAGAAGCAGUGAAGAAGGAAGUGGACGGCUCAGAUCAUCGCUUAACAAUUCGCAAGGAAAGUGAUGUGAAUCCAACGGUGCACAUCAUUACUAGUAGUAGCUGUAGCUAUCAGGCACCGUACUGUGCACGUCAUCCAUUUGUCUAUUUGUGUUGGCGUUGGGUUAAAAGCUGAGUUGAAGCUCUGAAUUUGUAUCACAAACUUGAACCCUAAUAUUAUCCUUAAGUCUUGCGGCGCCCAGUUCUUUUGUUCUUCCUAUUCUGCAUUUACUUUUCUUGUUAUUCCCAUUAGGUUAGCCACUGAGCCAAAUCUUCUCUGAAAUCACUGAAGUUUGAGGACUAAAUCUGGCCGGUCCUUGACAAAUUGGUAUCAGAGCAAUUCGAUUCUUGGCCAGCUCCCAGAUCUGAGUGGUUCUAAGCUGGUGAGAGUUUGAGAGACAAGUACUCUCUGUAAAAUUCCGGAGCCAGGCUGGGAAACUCGAUUUGGGGGCAGAUCUGAGAGCAGAGCAGGAAAGGUUGGAGAAGACUUUGUUUUUUCUCUGUAAAAUCCCCAACUUGCUGCUGUUCGAAAAUGGGAAGGGGAAAAAAUCUUGAAACUGUUUUGGAGGAGCAAGAACCGGCGUGGGCAGGAGAAGUAGGAGAGCUGAGGCAAACUAUGGCUGAGUUGCAAGAGAAGAUCGAGGAAGAGAACAAGGCCAUCCAUGAGCAGAUCCAGAACCAAGCUGUACAAGCUCAGAUCCAUCGCGAUGAGAUGAUGCAGUCACUGAAGGCUAUUCAGGAGAUGCUGAGCUCAACAGCGAGCUGUUCAGGGAAGGAAGCCAAGGAGAAGAUCGACGCUGUGAGAACACCGGGGACUGCUCAAUCUGCAACCCAAACAGCCCACAAAAUUGAAGGUAUGAGUAUGUUCCCUUCCACCCCAGGAGCUGUAGAUCUGAGAGGAGUUUCUUGUUCCAUGUCGCAACCAGAAUCAUUCACUGCAGUUGUCACUCCUAGCAUUGGUAGUCAUAUCCCUCAGAUGAAUCCACCAAUGAAUCCACCAAUUUUCUUUGUACCUGAGAUUAAUGCAUCAGUAUUCUUUCCAACCCAAACAAUCCCACCACAAAAUAGCUUUGGAACUCAAUACUUCCACCCCAAUGCCCACAUGAUGAACUACCACACUUCCCCAUACUACUAUCCACAGUACCCCCAAUUUCAUCAUCCUUGGAUGUUUCCCCACCAAGAGCCACCAACACAAACAGAAAAUCAGCCACCACCAAAUAGACAAGAGGUACGGGUAAUGUAGUGAAUGAGCAACAUGGGCAUAGGGGAAGGAAUCAAUAUGCAGAAGA